AGUGAACGCUGGCGGUAGGCCUAACACAUGCAAGUCGAACGGCAGCACAGGAGAGCUUGCUCUCUGGGUGGCGAGUGGCGGACGGGUGAGGAAUACAUCGGAAUCUACUCUGUCGUGGGGGAUAACGUAGGGAAACUUACGCUAAUACCGCAUACGACCUACGGGUGAAAGCGGGGGACCUUCGGGCCUUGCGCGAUUGAAUGAGCCGAUGUCGGAUUAGCUAGUUGGCGGGGUAAAGGCCCACCAAGGCGACGAUCCGUAGCUGGUCUGAGAGGAUGAGCAGCCACACGGGAACUGGGACACGGUCCAGACUCCUACGGGAGGCAGCAGUGGGGAAUAUUGGACAAUGGGCGCAAGCCUGAUCCAGCCAUACCGCGUGGGUGAAGAAGGCCUUCGGGUUGUAAAGCCCUUUUGUUGGGAAAGAAAUCCAGCUGGCUAAUACCCGGUUGGGAUGACGGUACCCAAAGAAUAAGCACCGGCUAACUUCGUGCCAGCCGCCGCCGUAA
rnacentral:rRNA from 1 species